AAUUAUUACAGUAUGUUUAUUAUAUGGCAGACCUAUCUUGGAAUUCAUUUUACAACCAUCUUGAGGGAAAACACAAAGCCGGCGCCAGCGUGAAGCCCACUGUGUCGCUGUUCCCCCCGUCCCCCAAUGAGCUGUCCGCUGGCUCGGCCACGCUGCUCUGCCUGCUCAGCGGCUACUUCUCUGAGGGGGCCAGCAUGGAGUGGACGGUGGACGGCUCCAAAGUGACCAGCGGGGUCCUGACCAGCGCCGAGGAGGGGAGGGACGGCAAGUUCAGCCGCAGCAGCUCACUGAAGCUGAGCAAGGCUGAGUGGGAGGCCAAGGAGUUGUACGUGUGCACGGUGACCCACGACAACUCGCCGACCUCCUACAGUGUCCGCAGGAGUCAGUGUGUAGGCACCGCGGUGUGA